rnacentral:lncRNA from 1 species
CAAUUCAAACAUCAAUUAUAAAACAGUACAAUGAUGAUCAUUCCCGACUUUAUUAGCAUGAAACACACAUGAGGUUUAUACACAUUUGGAUAUGAGAGAUACGAGAAUGUUGUUAAUUCUAUCAAAUUCUUGACCCCAGUUCAAAUCUUCAAACAUAUGUCAAGUGUGUCAUCUCCAACAAUGUCCCACUACCUUUGGUAGAGGAGAUCGAACUUGAACAACUGCACAACCUGGAGACUUUAGAGGAAUGCAUUCCUUUAAUUUGACUGCCAUUUCAAUUUUAUUCCUUGAGAUCAGGCCUCUCUAGCUCCACUUUUUCAGCAGUACUUUUCUGUUUGUGUGACUACUCACUUUCUUUAUAUGUCCAAAGCUAGAAUUGGUUAAAGUCAAAGAAAGUCAUGAAAAAAGUUGGUCGCUACUAUCUUUGUCCUUCAACCACCAACUCUCAUUCUCACCUAAAAGCCUUCGGAUUUGAAUAAAUGUGUAUGAUUAGAUAAGGAGAAACUUAAAAAAAAUUAACUAAAAAAUAAUUUAAUUGUAUUAUGAUUAAAUAAACAGAAACUUAAUCUAAAAUUCAAUAACAUAAAAUUAACUAAAUAUUUGUGUAUAUCUAAAAAAAAAAAAAAAUACGACUAAAACUUUUGGUAUUUUAUAUAUAAAACCAUCAACGUUGUCCAUUUGAACUUAUUAAUUUAAAAAAGAAGUUCGGCCAGAAGAUGGGUGUGCCACAACAAGACAAGAGUAAAAUUUCCAAUGUCUCCAUCAACUAUAUCUUUCAUGGUAUUAAAGUGGUAGAAUUUUAUUGCCAUUGAAAUAAAAUCAUAUUUUCCUUAAAGAAAUGACAAUAAUAAAUUGACUAGGUAACAACAUAAGGUACUCUCCAUGUUCUAAAUUUUAAAAGUGUUUAAUAGGUAUAUAAAUUUUCAUUUAAGCAUACUUAGAAAUUAAUCUUUUUAGGUUUUCUCAAAAGAAAAAAAAAUACCAACUAUUUAGACUUUAUAAAAAAAAUCGAUAAAAGAAAAAAAUUAUUAAUUCAAUAAAGUGUAAAUAUUGGGUCUAUUUUUGACAAUUUUCCUUAAUUUUUUAAUUUCUAAAUAUUCUUAAAUUUUUAUUUCUUUAAAUUUUAUGCUCAAUAAAUUACUUAUUUAAAUUUAAAUUUUAUAUAUAAUAAGUUAUUAACCAAUCAUGAUAUCUUAUUUUUUCUGAAUUUAUUUUACGACUGGUGAAGUUUAUAGUUUAGUACUUAUAGUUUAACCAAACCUUAUAAAAAUUCUAUAGUUUGUUAAAAUAAAUUCUAAACAAUCAAUCUAUUAAACUAAAAAUUUUAAAGUGGAGAACCUUACAAAUUCUAAAAUAUAUCUAUUAGACAAAAAAAAUUAUUAGAUCAUUUAAAAAAUUUAAAGGUUAAAUAAAUAAAAUGUUAAAAUCUAAACCUAUAAUUUAUUCCUUAAUUUAAAACCAAAAAGUUACAUUAAAUUUUCAUUUUUACCUUGAUAUUACACCAAAAUUCUCAUCUUGGCUGUAUUGAUGAUAGUGUCUAUUAAUUAAUUAAAAAUAAUAACAUAGAAAAAUUUGAUUUCAAUUGUAAUAAUAGUGGUAAAUGUUAGUAAAAUUUAUUAAUAUAAUCAGGAGACAUUAAGUAAAGACUAAAAGAGAAAAAAAAAGUUAAAAUGAAUGGUGAAAAAGUGUAAAGGUUGGAAUUAGAAAGCGAAACAAAAAUAAUAAUUAAGGAGAGGAGAAAAGGAGUUGUGGUGAAAUAAAAGUAAAAAAAUGUAAUGUGAAAACCUCAAAAUUGGCUGCAAAAAGAAGUAUUGAGUGUUGAGAAGAGACAAGCGUAUGGUCCACACUACACCCAUGUCUUUGACUUUUUCUCUCUUCAAUUUU